GGAGAGUGUGAUGUGCCUUUUUCCCUUUUCUUACGAUUAAAAAAAGGGCUUUUAGGUGAAAGCAGGCAAGGUCGCCGAGUGCUGGGGCCCAGCGCUGUCGCCAGCCGGGGGAAUGGGCUUCCUGUGCCGUGUGGCAGCAGGGAGGGACGGUGUGCCCGCCCCGCGGUCCACGGAGCCCCUGGGGCGAGCCAGAGGGGCUGUUUCUUUUUCCCCUUUCUCAGGUCCGUUACAGCCGGUCGGAGCCCCAUCCGCCGGUGAUGUAAAGCCGGGGGUGUUGUGCAGCCCCCGCUGACAGAGCCAUCCCAUUCCGCAGCCUGGCUGUCAGAAGCCCUCCAUAUGGCCAUGUGAUUGCUGCUGCUGCUGCUGCUUCACGUGAUCCAGCUUUCUGGCACAAAGGCUCGGAGCUCGUACAGAUGAUUGUUAAACAUCAUGAGACUCUGCAAGUGAAUCUCUUGAAGAAAAGCUUGAAAGCCUGGAUGCUGAAGAUCUCAUGUCUCAUCUGUCACGACCAGAAACCUACCUAGAUGAGGAGAAAAGAUCAAGGAAGUAAAACUGACCAAACUAUGGCACUGACAAGGUUAAGCAUUGUGUUGCUCUAGGGGAAGGAAGGUGUUAGAGAUGCUGCAGAGCCUCAGAAAGGAGGGCUAGGCAGCUCUUUAACCAGCAGAUUUCAGAUUUUUACAUACUGGCUGGAAAGGAUCUGAAAUUCUACCAGGUAUGCCACCAGUUUGGCAGCACAGGAGAAGAAAUGGUUAUUGGCUCUGCUCAUAAGGAAGAGACUACUUCAUUUGGAAAUGCUGUAGGUUAGUGCUUCAUUCUGCAAUUUACAGCCAGUGACUGAGCAGAAAGCUUUUAUAUCCCAAGAAGCUUUAAAAUAAAGCAGUUUCAGUUGUAUCAGUUUCCUGCUCAAGUUCAUGUGACAGUACUUGGUCUGCCUGUCUUGGUGACAGUAUGAAUUUAUAGAGACAGAAGCAAUCAGAUCAUAUAGUUUUCAAGAAGGCAACUGUUGUUAAGUCCAUUUUUCACAAAAGCAUAAUGAACCUGAGUUAAUAAGGCAAAGUCACUAAAUCCAGCACUGCAGAUCUGCCAGAUGCCUGAGAGCAGGUGAGGGGCAGGUGCGUGCAUUCCCUUCAGCAUCACACCUACCAAGGUGGGCCUUUUGGCCUGUCGGAUUGUGCAUCUGUUUCACUUGCAGUUCAGCAAAUUAAUUAAAGAGGAAAGACUUUUGGUAUCUCUAGCACAAUCAGUGACAAUUUAUGCAGCCUUGGUUUCCUUCCUCUGUUAUAUUAAUGACCUGAGCCUGGAUCUUGACAAGAUAAGAGACAUCUCUGAUUAGAAAAACCACCGGCACCAACAGGAGGUGUCAGUCCCCAUCACUGGUUUACAGUUUUAGGCCGGUUUCUUCAGUGAGCAGUGAUUGAAGUGCAAAUGUUUUGCUGCUUAAGUUGGAGUCACAAGCAAAUCUGGCACUGAAAUACCAAGCCAAGGGUAGGUUUAGAGUGCCUUAGUCCCUGGGAAAAUUCAAAAGCCCGAGUCAGCUGCCCAUAUGCCUCAUUAGACAACAUCCGGAAGGCUGGACACUUAAAAGUGGGUUAAUGGGAGAAGACACAGUAAGAAGGAGGCACCUAAACCACCUAACAGGGAACAUAAGAGGUGCAGUUGGACUGUGAGCACAGCCAUGGGGUUGUCUGUCUCUGUAGCAGACCUGUAAUCAUGAAUCUGCCCUUGGACAUGGGAACUGAAGUCAGCCCUCUGUAUCUUGUAAAAAUGCAAUGCCCCCUGUAACACUUGAGAAGUUUGUGGCACUGUGUCUUGGGGAGGCUCUGUGUUCAGUUGCCUCCACUGCCUGUUGGGACCGUGAUUCCCAGCCAGCCAGUGCCUGUCCUUUCCCACAAGCCCCUAAGACCACUCACCAGGGCCUAGAAAUUGUUAGUAGUUACAAAACAUUCAAGUUAAAUCUUCCUUUGUGAAAAACAAAACCAAUACCAUAGAGCAUUGUGAAUCUAUCUCAGAAUUUUUUCCAGAGAACAUCUGAUCCAAUUUAAUUCAAUAAGUCCCAUUCCAGCCAUUAAUCUCCAGCCAAAUUUUGUUUUUUAUUUCAUUGCACGUUAUGAUUUACUGCACAGCUCUCUGUUCAUUAUUAGUUAGAGAAGCAGUUGUUCAGAUCCUUUUUCUCUUGAUCUCCUGAUCAGGAAAAUACUGCGCAGAUGUGAACAGAAGUAAGACUAUUAUUCCUCUGAGAUAACUCUUAUCCACUUAAAAAUAGUGUCUGUGAGGGAAGUUAUGAUCUUGCAAAUAGCUUCUGCUUCUAAGAAAGACUACAUUAACAGCACAAAUGAGGCCAGCUUUCCUUACAUCAGGUCUACCGUUCGCUGCAAAAACCAUGCAGUAACUGUCAAAACUAAUAUUGCACAAAUAUCCUGGGAGGAGUUAAAAAUGUUGAAAUCCCACAUAUACAUCCUUCAGUACUUAGAAGAACCUGAACUGCCCAGCACAUUCCAGAGUAAACCUAUUUCCUUUUCAGGAAACAAAUAUUUUGUUUGCUUCUAUCAUGCACAAGAAAGGACAAAGCAGAAACAUAUUUUCUCAUGAUAACUACUGUCGAGACUGGAGGGUGUUGUCAGUGUUCACACAGAUGCUGCCUGGUCACUGUAAUUCUUCCUCCUCCCUUGCAUUAUAUCUGUAGGAAACAGAGCAAAGCCCUGUGCAGUUUGCUUCUGGAGUAGGAGCUGGGUGAUACUGCUCCAUUCUAGUGUUUGUGACCACCGCUCGUCUCCUGCUUAACCUGGUAAACUCAUUUAUGUUGCAGGUGGCUGGAGGUGCUAAGGAGCCAAAGCACUGACUUGUCUUUUCUGGGCUUCUCAGUUUCUUUCCCAUCUAUGUUCACUUUCUGAAGGGAGCCCAGUGUCUUUCUGCAAGAUGCAAAUUGAUUUGUCUUCAACAGCCUGGCCCAGCUGAUGAUAUCUAUUUAGAACAGGCCUUGAAUUAUAAAAACAAAUGUUCUGCAGCUCAGGAUGGAUUUACAUUGUCCUGCACUGGGAAACUCCAGAGGAAGCGCUAAACUCUUGUCUACCAGAACCCUAAUUAGUGGGCUGAAAUAACUGACCUCACUCUCAAAAAGACAUUGAAAUAGUCUACCCAGGACUUUGUUAUGAGCUAACAUUCUGAAUUUUAGGCAACCAGCUUUUGAAAAUUACUGAUUUAAGCUUUUACCUACAACGUCCAGCUUUAGCAAAAAGGAUUCUCUCCUGGCAUCACUUGUCUAAGCAAAAUGUUGCCACUGUACUAGCAGCCAGCACUAGUGUGCAAGCAAUACUACUGUCAGGAUAUUAUUAUCCCCAGGAAAUUCUUUUUUGCAUUAACAUGGUGGUUUAAUGGCCGGUUUAAUGGCAAGAAGGUGUUUCUCCCAAGGAGAGAGAAUUUAAGCACUCAGAUAAAUAACAACAGGUGUAUUUCACCUAAAUGUUAUUGCUCCUAAAGCCACACUGGUAUACCCAGGUUUGCAUGAACACCAAGAAGGUUUGGGAACUCUGAAGUCCCAUGUGGACAGCCUGGAGGGGCAAACGCUUGUGCAAGUUUUUCUCCUGGGUUGCUGUGAGCACAGCACUGCACUCCUGUGGAAAUUCUCUUUUUGUCUCUCAGUAGCUGUGGGUUUUCCCUUGGGGAAGAGUUAGUUAGAGGUUUCAAGCAUUGUUUUCUCCUUCUAGCAGUCUGCCUGUUUUUACAAAGUGUGUAGGAGCUCUUGAGUCCUCUGUUCCUCCACCUUGGAGGGGGUGGGGGGGUGUCAAAGUCUCAGGGGGACACAGGCACACACAGCACGCAAUUACUUCAAUCUCACUUAGAGAGACAGGCUGUAGAUAUUGCAAAGUUCUCAAUAACACAUUAUUUAAAUUCCAUUUAAAUAGUAUGAAUUUCCAUGAUAUAAGCUACUUUUUUGUCCCAGGGUGUAAAUCACAACACAAAUAAGGUUCCCUUAAAUUAAAAGGUGUUUUUGAGCACCAACAUCAUGGAAAAGUGUUGUCUAAGGCUCCUUGUUUUCCUUAGGGUCAGCCUAAACCUGAUCUUACUGGUUGGGGUCAUGUUCCCUCUUGUUCCUAAUCUAAUGGUGUAAAUCUAUGUCAGGAGUUUACUUCUAAGUCUAAUUCUCAUGCUCAAGUUGUAGCUAUUGGAGGGCUUUGCUUAGGACACUGCUGAUGUGACUCACAGGACAUGAGCCUAUUGCACACCCCAAACUUGAGAAGGAGAUGCUUAGAGCUUAGAGGUUAGUCUGUUUGGGAAACCUUAAAAUGGGUAGAAUUAGUGUUAGAAAUGAUCCUUGGGGGAAGGAUGUUUCUGGCUGAAGAGGAGCCUUACAGCCAGGCUGUUCUCUGUGCUCAAAGGCAAUGGAAGGGACGAAGCGUAGGAGUCUGUGAUAUACCCUGUGCAGACAUGUAUAUACCACCCUAUGGGGGAAACACCAUAAUUACUGUUCUGAGCUUCCAAGGAACUCUGUGAAGAAAACCAUAAAUCUCAGCCAUCUAGAGAUUUCUGUAAUUCAGACCAGAUGUCAGGUAGGCUGUUGUAUGGCUCCAGCACAUGACUUACAGUCACCUUUUUAUCCUUGUUCCUGUGCUACUGACGCCCUUUAAGUCUAAUAUUCUCAAAAGUAAGGAAAUAUGUUUCCACUGAACCAAAUCCCAUUUGUCUAGGUAGUGAGAACAAAUACCAGUUGUAGAUCAUCUUGGAUAGUCAAUUUUAACCUCAUCCUGGUCAAUAGCGCAAUACGAUAGCUCCUUCUCAACCCCAAAUUCAUAAACACAGGAAAUAAAAAUUACGAGGUUUAAAUAACCUGUGAGAUCUAGGAUUCUGGCUAAGACCUGUCUUACCAUUGAUUAAAUCUGGAAUCAGAUUGUGACAUAAAUUUAGGACAAAUGUAACAUCGGAAUUAUACCCUGCUGGUUGAUAAUAAUUCAAAAGCUCUACACUUAAUGUAGAAUUAUGGUACCUGUUAGUGUUAAAUACCUUAAUUAUUUUAAAAUAUCUUCAGAAAUUAUUCUACCAAGGUAGAGGUCCUCUUUGUUCAUGAAUAUAGACAACUACUCAAUUGUAGGAAUUUCUGAUCCUGACAAGCUUUGCUAAGUACUUGGCUACUAAUUACGAACAGGAAUAAAAGGACACCUGCUGAAAUAAUUAUUAAAGGAUGUGCAACUACAGCCUACCUCUUAUCAGAUGGAUGGAGCAAGUGUCCUACAUGAGCAGAGAAUGCAAUCUUACACAUUUUAUGACAAAUAUGCCAUUAUGUAAAUGAUUACAUCAGUAAGCAUAUUAAUUUGUGUGACUACUGAACUGCUUGAAUUUUAAUGCAUAAGGAAAGUAGCAAUAUAGUUCCAUGCUAAAUUAGAUACAGUAAGUGUUAGAUUUCCAUGGUGCUGGCAUAAUCUUUUUUACUGACAAAUAAAACUGAAAUAUUUCCACAAAAUUCAGUUUGUAACACUACUAUAAAUCAGCUACGAAACUAAGAUUGUACCCUCACUGUCAGUAAUGAUUUAAUACCCGUAAAUUCAGGACAAAAUUUCUUCCAUUAAUUUGCUUACCCAUCUUUGUCUACCAAUCUUGUGUACCCAUAAAAGCCUUCUUUUAAAUUGAUACUUAAAAUGUCUAUUAGCUUGAGUAGGAAAAAGCUUACAAAUCCAUGUUGCUAAUAUCUGCAGGACAAGCACAUCCUAAGUAUGAGCUCUGGCUCAGAAAAUCCUCUAGAUGAGAUCCUGGAAAGCCAGUGCCAUAAUCUGGGGAUACAUCUCUACAUGUUCUUCCUGUUCAAUUGUUGUAUCCUACAUGUGUCAGCCACUACUGGAGACAGGAUCCUGAAGCGUUGGCUCAGGUGGUUUUAUGUUCCUGUGUAGAAUCAUAGCACUAUGCUAAGGGCUUGGUGUUAUGCUGAAUCUAGAUACCAUAAGGCUCGUCCUAGCACCUGAAAUGUCCUGCUGUCUCUCUGUCUGACAGUUCUAGCCAGGACAAAAUUGCUUUCUAGGCAUUUGGCCAACUGCUAUAAAAAGGGCAUGCAGCUGUGCCAGCCGUGGCAGGACACAUCUCCCUCCUCUCCUUUCCACCGUAGUUUUCAGGAGAACAUCAACCAUGUGCCCUGCAUUUCCCAAGUACCUGCUCCCUUUUGGCUCCUGCAGAGAUGAACAAAAAGUAAGUGGGAGCCAGCCACGCUGCUCCUGCUGCUGGUCUAGGUAGUGCCUGCAGUGAUUUACCUGUGGUUACAUCAUAAUUCCGUGGUAGAAGGUGGAAAUCCCAGGGGUGUCGUUCAGUCACUAACUAAAAGUUGAUUUCUUUUUUCCCCACACUGGAGAACAGAUAUGAGGGAUGCAUGGAGUUGCAGGUCCUUCCAGGACCCUGGGGCACAGCUAGAUUUCUAACUGCAAUCCCAGCCCAUCUAAUCCCUGUCUCACAAGUCUACAGCUUCAGUCACUGUAACCAGGAGAGAGGAUUUGGCAAGGCCUUAUUUGCUUUUUCUCCAAAUAAGGUUGAGUUUUCAACCUUAAGGCCAUACUCCAAAAGUCAUUUACUUUCCUAGAUCAGGGACCAUUCUGGUGAUUGUACAGAUGUGGUAUUUUUACCUACUAAAUUAUAAGUGAGGUUUGCAGCUAGGUGAAGAAGAUUGAUUUCCCUCUUUUGUUUGUGCAAUGAUCACUUUGGAUUAUGUCCAUGUGUAACUAAGGCUUUCCUAAUCAUGGACUGAGGAUGCACUGGAUCAAAUGGCAAUUAAAAGCCCAUGACCUUAGAGAGUCACAAACCACUUGCAGAAUGUCUCAUGGACAGCUUCUCCCACGGGGAAAUGUUGCAAUCUUCAGUUUUAUAUCUUCUUUAACCCCAAAAUGCUUUAAAACUGGAUGCUAGCAUUAGCUCCACAGUUCUGGGACAAUGUGGUAUCAUACAGGUGCUGGAAUCUUUACCUACACAAGCACAACUGCUCAUCUUGAUCCCACAUCUCUCUCUAGUCUUUCCUCCCUGUCCAACAAAUUCAGGUUUGAGGGAUGAAGGAGCUCUAAUGAGGCAUUUUACCACCCCCAAACACGGUUGUUCCUUACCCUCCCCCCCAGAGCCUGGCUCUCCAACACACACCACCCACCUCUCACUCCUUCCCCCAGGGAUCACACAGCAGUCUCAGGCACGCUCAUCUUCACAGCAAAACUUCUCCAAUUUGUUUGUUAUUUUUCCUCUGGCUUUAUUUAUGAAAGUGGUGUGACAGAACACUCUCCCUCUUUUUGCCACCUCUCUUCCCUCUGUUUUGUUUCCCGUCAGGCAUUUCGCCCUGGCACACCAAGUAAAGACGCGAAAGAGGAGUUGGGAACAUCUGGCCCUGGCUGCAGAGCAUUGUCAGGAAGUUCUUAGACUUAAAAUCAUCUUUUUCCCCCUCUUCCUGGGACCUUGCUGUGGGAUGUUCAAGGCUUCCUGCCGCAGCCCCCAGGGUGGCCAGCAGCCCCCAGCCGGGGUUCCACUCUCUCCAACACAAUUACAGCCUGCAAAUGUUUAAAGGCAGUUUCUUUUGAUUUAGCCACAUGCUUCAAAUUGUUAUGUGGUUAACCACUGAGAACAAACCCCCACACAAAUACCUACGUAUCAACUCGCUUGAGCCAGGGUGGUAGUGUCGGGGGAGGAAGGGGAGAGGGGAGGCUUCCUCAUUUUGCUUUUGAUGAGAAGAAAAUAGAGUUUUCUUUUGGCUUUCCCAAACUACCAGCAGCUGCUGCAUCACGGUGUGUGCUGGUUGAUGCCCCUUUGCACUUUUGUUUGCUGAUGAAAGGAGUCUUGUUCGGCAGCCAUGGCCAUGUACCCCAACGGGCCACGUCCUGUGCUACUGUAAAUCAGCUUGUCUGGUGAAUAGGAACUGAAAAUGCAACCUUCUCUCUGUGUGUGAUGUGCAAGAGCCUAGCUGGGGGAAGACUUCUGCACUUUGACAUUGCCCUAUCCCAUGUCCCUUAACUCUUAUAAAAAAACCGAAUACUUUUCUGCUGACUCACAGAGACAGAUGGAUUUUGUUAACUCCAGUCAAGAUAGAAGAGGAUACACUAAAAACAUCACUUGGCGGGGCUGAACGCAGCGUUGGGGUUCAGGGGGACUGAGCAAGGAGUUUCACAUCUCGCUCUCUUCAGCAUGGAUGGAGCUUGGCUUGUGGGUGCCACAUGGGAGGAGCAAUGUGUGGUCUAGGCAGAGCACUGCUGCUAAUCAGUCUCUGAAAUAAUGGCCCACAUAGUUGUUUCCCUCCCUCUCCUUGUGCCCUCUCCCUGGAGCACUGCAACUCCCCAAAGCCCAAGAGAGAGACUUGGAGCCAACAGCAAUGAAAAAAGAAACACCCCAAAACAAACACAGAACUCAAAUCCCCUCAGUAAUUCCAUUGCCUCUACUUAAAUCUUCUUAAAUUACAGAGGGUUUUAGUGAAGUAAAUUAACUUCCCUUUGCUUGCGUUUCCUUGCCUUUUUGAGGACUAUGAUGCUGAAGAGCAAAUUGUCUUACAAACAGAAUCAAACAUGGGGACAGUUGCCAAACACAACUGGCAGAGCUGUUCGUGUAGCGGUCCUGAGAGUGGACCCAAGUGGAAAUAGAGAUAAUUAUUUUGCCAUGGGCCAACUUUAAGAUCCAUCUUAAUUUUAUUUUCGUUUAUGAAA